AAAAAAAAAAAGUAGAUAUACAAACAAAUAAGAAAAAUUAUAUGCAUCAUUAUAAGAACAUGAAUCAGAUCACCGGAAAAUUAAAAUUUAAACCAGUUGAGCUUAUUAAUAAUGAAAAUAGGGGUGUAAAUUUUGUGAGCAAAAAUAAAAUCAAUAUAAAUGGAAUGGGGAAAAACACAACAAACACAUAUACUAUGCAAUCAGCACAUAAAGGCACAUUAAUAAAAAGUGCAAAUAUUAAACCACGAAUAAAUAAUAACAACGUUUUAAAACACCCGCCCCCUAAAUAUAAUAUCAAAAAGAAUCAAAAUGGGAUUAACAAAAAGUUGAAUGCUGAAUAUAAUAAAAAACCAAACAAUGAAUUAAACAAUAUAGGGAACAGGGUUUCAGUUUAUAACGCACGAGUUUCAAUGAACUACGAUUUUAAAAAUCCGUAUAUGAGUAAAACAAUGGUAGAUGAUAAUACGGAAAAUAAAAAUAACGAUCAAAAAAAUACUAAGGAAUAUAUUAAUGAUGAUAAUAUUAUAAUGAAUACUAGUAAUGUUGUAAAUAACACUAAUAACAAUGACAGCUCUGGACUGUAUAACUCAUCCUAUAAUAAUAAUGCACAUGAUGAAUUGCAAAAUAAUAACAAUAAUAGUAAUAAUAACAUAAAUGACAUGAAUGAUAUAAUGAACAAUUACACUUCCCCAAUAAAAAGAAAAUAUGAAGCAAUUGAAAAUAUAAAUAAAAACAAAGAAACUGAGAAUAAAGAUAUGAAAAUUUUUAAUAAAAAAAAUUGCUCCCAUGAAUUAUAAUUUUAAUAAUAAUUUAGAUUAUCAUAAAAAUUUUUCCAAUUUAAAUCAUACUUUAAACAACACUCAUGAAGAUUAUAACAACAAUUUAUAUAUGAGUGAAAGGAUAUAUAACAAUACUAACAAUAAUAAUAAUUUAAUUAAUAAAAGUGUAAAUAUAAAUAGAUUUUUACCUACUAACUAUGAAGAUACAAAAUUAAACAAGUAUAACAUAAACCGUAAAACAGUUCAGGUUGAAACAAAGUCAGGAAUGACAUUUAACGGAAAUAUAGCUGCCAGUAUGAACGCUAAUCGAAUUAAUAAAAGUAACAACAAUAUUGGCUAUAACAAAAUCAGAAAUAAUAACAACAUUAGUAAUAGCACACUUAAUUCUAAUCCACUUGAAAGAAAUUACAAUAAUUAUGACAAAAUAAAAAAAAAAGACGCUUUUUUAAAUGAUUAUAAUUACGAAGCGAAUUAUAAUUAUUAUCAAUCUGAAAAUGUUAACCCCUUAGAUUUAGAAAUUUUUAAGAAUAAAAAUGGAAAUAUAAACAACAAUAUAAAUAGCAAUAUAAAUGGAAACAAAAUUGACGUUUCUAAUUCCGACAUGAAUGCAAGCAAUUAUUUGAAUGAUAGUGUCGUAAAAAAUUAUAAAAAUGAGAACUUUAAUAACUCUUUAUAUGACCUUAACAACUCUUUUAUAAAAAUGAAUCAAUUUCAAAAACAAACAAAUCACUUAACUGAUACUAACAGUGAUAAAAUAUUGAAUGGUUCAAAUAAUCAUAAUGAUUUUACAAAUUCUUGUUCAUUUGAUAGAAUGAGUGAAGAGAAUUUUAAUUAUUAUUUGAAAAGAAAAUCUCAAAAUAAAAUUGGUGCUAUCAAUAAAAAUAGAAACAUGACAAAAGAAGUAGCACUAUCAUACAAUAUUGCUAAUAAUGACCCAAUUGAUAAUAAUAUUGAGAAUAGUAAUACUACAAGUAAUAUCAGUGGACAUAGGAAUAUAACACCUAGUCGAGCUUCAAUAAAAAUUAAUAGUUUACAAGUAAGUCAAGAAGAAGAUCAUCAAAUAAAUAAUAUGUUAAAUAAUUCUAAAAAUUUAAUCAAAAACAGAUUAAUCGAGUCGAAUAACAAUGAUUUACAAGUAUUAUCAACAUCUUUUCCAUUUUUAAAUUCUAAAAAUAUAUUUAGUAACCAUAGCGAUAACACAAAAAACAGUACUAAAUAUAUGAAUAAUGCAAACAAUGCAAACAAUACAAACAAUNNNNNNNNNNCAAACAAUGCACACAAUGUGAAUGGAGUAGAUAAUUACCAAGACAAUGUAUCAAUACCUUACUUUAAUAAAGCCAACGAAAUGAAUAACAUAUUAAAAAAUACGAAACCAAAUGAAUAUCGAAAUAAAGGUUUAUUGAAAAAAUAUAACAUGGAUUCUUAUUUAAACAAUGAUAAUGAUUAUCAUUAUUUUAAAAAUAUAAUUCAUAAUAUAACAAAAUUUAAUGGAGAAGAAAGUGACAUUAAUACAUUAUAUAAAAAUGUAAUGAAUUUAAAUGAUUAUUCAUUAAACUUUAAUGUUGAAAAUGAUGGUAUAGAUGAAAUAAUAAAUAUAUACGAUAAUGUUAAUAAUAACAUAAGAGAUAUACAGAAAGCUAUUUUUCAAAAAAAAAAAGUAGUACAAGAUAAACGAAAUUUAAUUAAUGAAGAAUAUGAAAUUAUAUGUCAAAAACUGAAAGAAUGUGAGGAUGUUUUUGUUGAUGGUGAUGAUGAAGGUGGGGAAAAGAAAUUAAAAAUAUUUUAUGAAGUUAAUGAUAAAAAAAAUAAUCUUCGGAAAAAAUAUGAAGAAAAUAAAAUGAAACUAAAAAAAACUCAAUACAAAAUUGAGAAACUACAAAAAUAUUCAGAUGCCGUAAGAAUAAAAACAAUGGCUAUGACGAAUAAGUAUAAAAAAACACUUUUACUAAUUGAAGAUCUUUUUAGAUUGAAAAUAAUAAAAGAUAGUAACAAUCAAAUAGAAGUUUGCUUAAUUCCAAAAAAUACGGAAAAUAAUAUGUGGCAUAGGUUGCACCUAGAUAAAAAUGAAAUUACAUCCGAUGCAUGUGAUUAUUUAUGGAAUCAAAUUGAAUCUUUUGUUGACAAGGGAGCUUUUGACACGUACUUUUGACACGUACUUUUAACAAAGAAGAAAAACAAAAAGAAAAACAAAAAGAAAAACAAAAAGAA
rnacentral:lncRNA from 1 species